UGCAGAAUCCCGUGAAUCAUCGAGUCUUUGAACGCAAGUUGCGCCCGAGGCUUCGGUCGAGGGCACGUCUGCCUGGGCGUCGCAC
rnacentral:rRNA from 2 species